rnacentral:tRNA from 1 species
UUUUUUGUGGUGUAGUGGUCGGCACGCUGGGCAUGUAUUCCAGAGGUCCGUGGUUCGAGUCCCGGCGAAAACA